CCUUCUACUUAUUAUUGCUUCGGCCUAUGAAUUUUUACACUAUUCUCAAGGCUUCUACAAGUCUAUGAUCUUUGUUUUCACUAUCAUAUUGGAGAUCUCCAUAUGCUCCAGCACUAUCUUCUCCUUUAAGACUGCAAAUGGUCUUGUGUAGACUACUGCUCCAAUACACUUGUGCUAUGACGAGGGCUUUGUGUUACGUGCUUAUGAAGAUUCACCUGUCUCUAUCUUUACCUUUGAUAAUGAUCUUGUGCUACUGAUACAUGGCUUCUCUUAUGAUUCAAAGUGUUGUAGCUGCUCUUUAUUUGCUUCAAAACCCUUUAUCAUGCCUUUUGACAGAACACUGCUUUUUUUAACUCUGCAUCUUGCCAUAUCUUUUUUACCAUGCCUAUGUUUUGAUCGUCUUUCUAGUAUUUGUUACUAUCUUUCCCUGUGUAUGAGGACUGCUUACUUGGCUUGGGACUACCAUCUAUACAUGCUAUGGACUACUAUGCUUUAUCAAAAUCUUAUUUAUCAUGAAACUCAAAAACUAUGGAAUGCCAUGCAUACUUUCUUGUGGGUAUCACAUUAUUCCUGCUCGCAUAAGACUCGUCUCAAAAACCAAAUAAGCAAAGACCCUAGCUGCAUGUACAAAAAACCUUACUUCUAUGAAUAACAAAAAGAACUUGAAAGGUUGUGACAGACCUGGCAAGUAACAGUAAUAUGCAUGGUUCUUGCAUGAUCCUUGGAUGCGUUAUGAAAGAAGACUUUGCAUGAAUUCAAAGAAGACUUUUCCCCAUGCUUGUCAUUGUAACAAUGCAUAUCUCAUGUUCAAAACCUUGAAAUAAGCCCUUGACUUCUCUAAACUGCCGGUCAUCACUUGUGGAAGUGUACCUUUAGAGACAUCAUAUCAGAGGGUUAAUCAUUGUAUUUAUGCAUCCACAAGCCUUUAUGAGUAUAGAGGAUGGAAAUCAAAGCCUUCCAGGGUGGGGCAUCGCCUCUUUACAUGGGGUUUGAGGUACCUAGAGAUACUUCAGGGUUCUCUGGUGGUAUGGAUAGGAGGGCAGGGAUAUGCUAGAUGUUCUUUGGAAGGCAAGUAUUUGUAUGGAGUUACUUGUCUGGCAGUGCUCCUCAAAUAUGUGUUUCUCUUGAGAUCCCUUGAGAUAUUUUGUCACUGGAAGAAGAUGAGACCCGUGCUAAACACGGUAAUAGUUGGAUAGUCUCAGUGAUUUAGUGGGAGGAUGGGAUGCAUGCAAAUACAAAGAAUAUUGUAAAACAUUGCAAUUCUGUAGGUAUUCUUAUGUAGAAGGGAACCUUCACAUGGUGGCCAGGCCACUAAAAUAUUUGCAAAAAAUGACACAAUUGAUCAUGUGUAUCAUGUACUAGUUGUUAGACAUCUUGGAUCAUUUCUUUAUGCAGUAUUUUGAAUUUGUUGUUAAGGGGUCUUAAUUAUCAUGGAGUAUUUGAAAGAGUUGGAAACUCUUAGACAACUUUGACAUCUUAUAACUUAUAUAUCAUGACGUUGAAUCAAUAUUUUAAU